ACGAAACAGCGACGGAGGAGGCGAGCCGAGCGCCGGAAGCAAGUGGGUCUGUGCGUGGUGGGAGCAGGAAGCUGUGCCGUGUGGCUCUAGCUGAGUUUGGUCGUUUCUCUCUUUUCUAGCCGUGAAGCAGAGUGGAAAGCUGGGUAUCGGCAGCGCAGCUCCUCUGGCAAGGCGUCACCAGCGCUGAGGGUUUGUGACCGCGCCCGCGGCACGACACGCCGACCGGACCGCCCUGGAACUCAGCAGGAGGCGCUGAAGCGGAACCCGGCGACGCGGGAAGACGGCCGUUGGCACACGUAGCGUUUUCCUCUGCCGAAGAUGGGUUCGGUCCCUCGGCCCUCUGAAAGCUAAGUGGAGGCGAGACUACUGGGAAGGGGCUGGGAAGGGGCUGGGAAUCGCAGGGACGGGGGGUUUAGCUCUGCUAAGGGCAAGGGCCGUCCAGGAACCGUGAAGGGCCCGGGGACCUUUACUGUGCGAUGCCAGCGUGUGCCGGGCAGGGCAGCUCCAGCCUGCGUCUGCGUUGUGGUGUAGUUCGGGAAGCCUGCCUUGCGCCCGUCAGAUGAUCCUGGGGUCUCGUUGCGUUCCAGGGGCACGAAAGGCCUCUGGGGUGUCAUCCCGGCAUCUGGAACGCCGGUGCCGAUUGGGCGCCGGUUUUCUGGUGUCGGCAGCCAAAAGCGAGGCGGGUUCUUGCCUUUCGGCCGCUUCUGUUCAGGGGUGUUUGUGGCGUUGUCCUGGGCUGUGCCGGCAGCCGGGCUCUCUACCCAUCCAGUCUCAGGGACUGGAGCUUCAAGAUGCUGGGAAGAAGUUCUUAGGUGUUCCAGCAGCUUCUCCUUUGGUUGCGCCGUUUCUGCUCGGUUGCGGCGGUGCCGCCGUCUCGUCAGGAGCCAUGACGUCGGGCUCCUUUUCCGUUUCGGGUUGCAGGAGAGGCUCCUCGCCUCACCGCUGCCUCCCCGUAGAUUAUUGGUUUCGAUGCCCGUCUGGUCUCGGAGUGUCGUGUUC